GGCCAGACUCCUACGGGAGGCAGCAGUGGGGAAUAUUGCACAAUGGGGGAAACCCUGAUGCAGCGACGCCGCGUGAGCGAUGAAGUAUUUCGGUAUGUAAAGCUCUAUCAGCAGGGAAGAAAAUGACGGUACCUGAAGAAGAAGCCCCGGCUAACUACGUGCCAGCAGCCGCGGUAAUACGUAGGGGGCAAGCGUUAUCCGGAUUUACUGGGUGUAAAGGGGGCGCAGACGGCGAUGCAAGCCAGGAGUGAAAGCCCGGGGCCCAACCCCGGGACUGCUCUUGGAACUGCGUGGCUGGAGUGCAGGAGGGGCAGCCGGAAUUCCUGGUGUAGCGGUGAAAUGCGUAGAUAUCAGGAGGAACACCGGUGGCGAAGGCGGCCUGCUGGACUGCAACUGACGUUGAGGCCCGAAAGCGUGGGGAGCAAACAGGAUUAGAUACCCGUGUAUC
rnacentral:rRNA from 1 species